rnacentral:tRNA from 1 species
UCCCCAAUGGCUCAGUGGUAGAGAAUUUGCCUGCAAUGCAGGAGACCCAGGUUCGAUCCCUGGGUGGGAAA